UCCUCCGUGGCGCAAUUGGCCAGCGCGUCUGACUGUUAAUCAGGAGGUUGGUGGUUCGAGCCCACCCGGGGGAG